rnacentral:rRNA from 1 species
GAUGAACGCUGGCGGCGUGCCUAAUACAUGCAAGUCGAGCGAACGGACGAGAAGCUUGCUUCUCUGAUGUUAGCGGCGGACGGGUGAGUAACACGUGGAUAACCUACCUAUAAGACUGGGAUAACUUCGGGAAACCGGAGCUAAUACCGGAUGAUAUUUUGAACCGCAUGGUUCAAAAGUGAAAGACGGUCUUGCUGUCACUUAUAGAUGGAUCCGCACUGCAUUAGCUAGUUGGUAAGGUAACGGCUUACCAAGGCAACGAUGCAUAGCCGACCUGAGAGGGUGAUCGGCCACACUGGAACUGAGACAUGGUCCAGACUCCUACGGGAGGCAGCAGUAGGGAAUCUUCCGCAAUGGGCGAAAGCCUGACGGAGCAACGCCGCGUGAGUGAUGAAGGUCUUCGGAUCGUAAAACUCUGUUAUUAGGGAAGAACAUAUGUGUAAGUAACUGUGCACAUCUUGACGGUACCUAAUCAGAAAGCCACGGCUAACUACG